AGUGAACGCUGGCGGUAGGCCUAACACAUGCAAGUCGAACGGCAGCACAGUAAGAGCUUGCUCUUACGGGUGGCGAGUGGCGGACGGGUGAAGAAUACAUCGGAAUCUACUUUUUCGUGGGGGAUAACGUAGGGAAACUUACGCUAAUACCGCAUACGACCUACGGGUGAAAGCAGGGGAUCUUCGGACCUUGCGCGAUUGAAUGAGCCGAUGUCGGAUUAGCUAGUUGGCGGGGUAAAGGCCCACCAAGGCGACGAUCCGUAGCUGGUCUGAGAGGAUGAUCAGCCACACUGGAACUGAGACACGGUCCAGACUCCUACGGGAGGCAGCAGUGGGGAAUAUUGGACAAUGGGCGCAAGCCUGAUCCAGCCAUACCACGUGGGUGAAGAAGGCCUUCGGGUUGUAAAGCCCUUUUGUUGGGAAAGAAAAGCAGCAGGUUAAUACCCCGCUGUUCUGACGGUACCCAAAGAAUAAGCACCGGCUAACUUCGUG
rnacentral:rRNA from 1 species